rnacentral:rRNA from 1 species
GGUAACAGCUGGAAACGGCUGCUAAUACCGCAUAAGCGCACGGCACCGCAUGGUGCAGUGUGAAAAACUGAGGUGGUAUAAGAUGGACCCGCGUCUGAUUAGGUAGUUGGUGGGUAACGGGCCUACCAAGCCGACGAUCAGUAGCCGACCUGAGAGGGCGACCGGCCACAUUGGAACUGAGACACGGUCCAAACUCCUACGGGAGGCAGCAGUGAGGAAUAUUGGUCAAUGGGCGAGAGCCUGAACCAGCCAAGUAGCGUGAAGGAUGAAGGUUCUAUGGAUUGUAAACUUCUUUUAUAAGGGAAUAACGGACACUACGUGUAGUGUUUUGCAUGUACCUUAUGAAUAAGCAUCGGCUAACUCCGUGCCAGCAGCCGCGGUAAUACGGAGGAUGCGAGCGUUAUCCGGAUUUAUUGGGUUUAAAGGGAGCGUAGGCGGGAGAUUAAGUCAGCUGUGAAAGUUCGGGGCUCAACCUUGGAAUUGCAGUUGAAACUGGUUUUCUUGAGUGCGGCAGAGGCAGGCGGAAUUCGUGGUGUAGC